rnacentral:rRNA from 1 species
UACGGAGGGGGCUAGCGUUGUUCGGAAUUACUGGGCGUAAAGCGCGCGUAGGCGGCUUUGUAAGUUAGAGGUGAAAGCCCGGAGCUCAACUCCGGAAUUGCCUUUAAGACUGCAUCGCUAGAAUCAUGGAGAGGUGAGUGGAAUUCCGAGUGUAGAGGUGAAAUUCGUAGAUAUUCGCAAGAACACCAGUGGCGAAGGCGGCUCACUGGCCCGGUACUGACGCUGAGGUGCGAAAGCGUGGGGAGCAAACAGG